rnacentral:rRNA from 1 species
UACGUAGGUGGCAAGCGUUGUCCGGAUUUACUGGGCGUAAAGAGCGCGCAGGCGGUCGGAUUAGUCGCGUGUGAAAGCCCCCGGCUCAACUGGGGAGGGUCACGCGAUACUGUUCGACUCGAAGGCAGGAGAGGGAAGUGGAAUUCCCGGUGUAGUGGUGAAAUGCGUAGAUAUCGGGAGGAACACCAGUGGCGAAGGCGACUUCCUGGCCUGUUCUUGACGCUGAGGUGCGAAAGCGUGGGGAGCAAACAGG